UACGGGGGGGGCAAGCGUUGUUCGGAAUUACUGGGCGUAAAGGGCUCGUAGGCGGCCAACUAAGUCGGAUGUGAAAUCCCCAGGCUUAACCUGGGAACUGCAUCCGAUACUGGAUGGCUUGAAUUCGGGAGAGGGAUGCAGAAUUCCAGGUGUAGCGGUGAAAUGCGUAGAUAUUGGGAAGAACACCGGUGGCGAAGGCGGCUAUCUGGACUGUGAUUGACGCUGAGGCGCGAAAGCGUGGGGAGCAAACAGG
rnacentral:rRNA from 1 species